rfam:Actinopolyspora erythraea strain YIM90600 genomic scaffold Scaffold12, whole genome shotgun sequence.
UGUGUCGUGUGUGAAGGCGUACGGUGGAUGCCUGGGCACCAGAUGCUGAUGAAGGACGUGGGAGGCCGCGAUAGGCCUGGGGGAGCUGUCAACCGAGCUGUGAUCCCAGGGUGUCCGAAUGGGGUAACCUGGCCGGGGUGAUGCCCGGUCACCGGUGUCUGAAGAGAUUAGGGCGCCGGGGGGCACGUGGGGAACUGAAACAUCUCAGUACCCGCAGGAAGAGAAAACAAUAGUGAUUCCCUGAGUAGUGGUGAGCGAACGGGGAGGAUGGCUAAACCGUCUGCGUGUGCAAGCCGGUAGGUGUUGCGUGGGCGGGGUUGUGGGAGCGCCUGGUCAUCGCUACCGCGGUGGCGCUGGGUGUGUGGUGCUAGCUGAAGGCGUUGGAAGGCGCUGGCGGAGUGGGUGAGACCCCCGUAGGUGAAGGCACUGCAUGGCUGGUGGGGCGUGGUCCCGAGUAGCGCGGGACUCGUGUAAUCUCGUGUGAAUCGGCCAGGACCGCCUGGUAAGCCUGAAUACGUCUGGUGACCGAUAGUGGAUGUGUACCGUGAGGGACUGGUGAAAAGUACCCCGGGAGGGGAGUGAAAGAGUUCCUGAAACCGUGCGCUGUUAAUCCGUCAGAGCAUGCUGCCGUGGUGGUGUGUGAUGGCGUGCCUUUUGAAGAAUGAGCCUGCGAGUUAGUGGUGCGUGGCGAGGUUAACCCGUGUGGGGGAGCCGGAGCGAAAGCGAGUCUGAAUAGGGCGAGGUAGUCGCGUGCUCUAGACCCGAAACCGAGUGAGCUACCCGUGGCCAGGGUGAAGCGCGGGUAAGACCGUGUGGAGGCCCGAACCCACCAGGGUUGAAAACCUGGGGGAUGAGCUGUGGGUAGGGGUGAAAGGCCAAUCAAACUCGGAGAUAGCUGGUUCUCCCCGAAAUGCAUUUAGGUGCAGCGUCGCGUGGUGCUUGGUGCAGGUAGAGCGACUGGAUGGCUGAUGGCCCGGUGUGGGUACUGACGUCAACUAAACUCCGAAUGGCAUCAACGUUGCAGCGUGGCAGUGAGUCCGUGGGGGAAAAGCUCCAUGGUCGAGAGGGAAACAGCCCAGAUCACCGGCUAAGGCCCCGAAGUGUGUGCUGAGUGGAAAAGGAUGUGGGAUCGCCGAGACAACCAGGAGGUUGGCUUAGAAGCAGCCAUCCUUGAAAGAGUGCGUAACAGCUCACUGGUCAAGUGAUCCUGCGCCGAUAAUGUAGCGGGGCUGUCAAGUACACCGCCGAAGCCGUGACACGACAGUGUGACUGUUGUGGGUAGGGGAGCGUCCUGCACACCAGUGAAGCAUCGUCCGUAAGGGGGUGUGGAGGGUGUGGGAGUGAGAAUGCAGGCAUGAGUAGUGCAUGGACAGUGAGAAUCUGUCCCGCCGGAAGACCAAGGGUUCCAGGGCCAGGUUGAUCCGCCCUGGGUGAGUCGGAUCCUAAGGCGAGGCCGUCAGGCGUAGUCGACAGGACAACGGGUUGAUAUUCCCGUACCCGCGCGGCACCGCCCCAUACCAGCCCCGACUGGUUGCUGGUCAACGCAUGUCCCUGCGGGGGAUUCGUCCCGCGUGUGGGGGGUGUGUGGCUGGCGCUGGUGGGUGUGCUGGUCAGCGAGGGGGUGACGCAGGAGGGUAGCCCAGCCCGGGCGAUGGUUGUCCCGGGGUAACGGUGUAGCAUGGCCGCCCAGGCAAAUCCGGGUGGUCGCGACGUGUGAGACCGGAUGCCGAGCCGGUGUGGCGAAGUGGGUGAUCCCUGGCUGCCGAGAAAAGCCUCUAGCGAGGGGCCGCGUGGUCCGUACCCGAAACCGACACAGGUGGUCUGGUAGAGCAUACCGAGGCGAGCGGGAUAACCGUGGUUAAGGAAUUCGGCAAAAUGUCCCCGUAACUUCGGGAGAAGGGGAGCCGCCGCUGGUGAUCCCCCUAUGGCGGGG